rnacentral:snRNA from 1 species
UUACUUACCUGGACGGGGUCAAUGGAUGAUCAAGAAGGUCCAUGGCCUAGGUUGGUGACCUCCAUUGCACCCAGGAGGGGUGCCCGCCUAAGGUCGGCCCAAGUGGUCGAGCCUACGUCAUAAUUUGUGGCAGUGGAGGCCUGCGUUCGCGCGGCCUCUGC